UAGUGUUACAUGCAGUAAACUGAAAAACUACACGCCCUGGUAGCACCAGCUGAAAUAGCUAAUCUUCUCAAAUAAUCUAGUUCCUCUAUGGCAGUAACCAUGGUGACCAGAGUAAACUUUUUCAUUUCCUUUUUAGCGUUUUUAUGCAAUUAUCUAAAUAACUAGCUAGCUAAAGAUGAGACAAUUGCGUCUAUUCCAGACUCAGCUGGGAUUCGCACACGAAAAUAGAUUACGAAUAAACUGGAAAAAGUUUUUCAGCCUUAUAAAGCAGUAUUGAAAACAGUCGUAAAAAUCGGGUAGGAAUAAAUAUCCUCACAGAGAUUAAUCCAGGGGUGUUUUGCAGGAGGUGGGCAGAAUCCAAACUUUAUGAAUUUAUCAUCUACAGUAUCCGGUUUAUCCUGAAUAUUCCUCAGUGAUGCAGCUGUAAACAAACUGAAUAUGUCGUGUUCACAUGCUUUGUUGUCUGACAGAACAUGGAACUUUGGGUGCUUCUCAUUUCUUAUUUGUGCAUCCUCACUUCCUUUCCUUGCAUCUCAGCUCCACCCCCUUAAAAUGCGAAGGAAGGAUGAGAUCUGAGGAGAGAGGAAUCAACACAAGUGGAAUGGGUUGCUUCUCAUUUCUUAUUUGUGCAUCCUCAUUUCCUUUCCUCGCUUCCUGUCCUCAUUUCCUGUCCUUGCAUCUUGGCUCCAUCCACUUAGGAUGUGUGGGAAGGAUGCAAGUAUGAGAUCUGAGGAGAGAGGAAUUGAAGCAAGCCAAAUGGAAUAUCUUCAUUCUCUCAAGCAUCACUUCAAAGCGACGUCACUUAAUGAUGACUGGGCUCAGCUGAAUGACCUCACUGUGCUUCAGGGAUCUGCUGUUAUGUUGUUGGAGCUCGGCUAAAUGCACUGAUAAUGUAAAGGAGGAGGGGAAUUUAUACAUGCGUGAGGUUUUUCGACAAGAAGCACUUCCGCAUAGGAUACCCCUGUGUAUCCUUGCUCCUAGCUCCUCUGGAAGCUUCCUCACGCCUCGUUCUUCGCCCUCUCACGGUGCAGUUAGAGAAUUGAGAUGUCCUUCAAGAUGGUUGACUGCGAUCGAUUUCCUGGUCACGGGCUGGAGGACGGAGGAGCGAGGAAACGAGGAAGCGUCAAUUUGAGUAUUGUGAAGCACCCCUGGAGGACACCAAGUUCAUUCAUACAUAUUUCUUGUUUCAUUCUUUUUUUUUUACUUUUAUUUUGACACCAUAACACGUAUUAUGCUAUUAGCUAGCUUGCUGACGAUAAUGGAAUUUUGGUCAAAUACAAGCUAUUUUCACAGGUGUAAAAAUGUACAACAUGCAUAGAAUGCUUGCUAAUAUACAUAAAUGAAUAUGACCAAAACGACAGCCUGCAGUAUUUACUAGUCUACAUUUUUACACUACACUAUAUGGCCAGAUGUGUAUAUGGACACCCCUCCUAAUGAAUGAGUUCAGGUGUUUCAGCCACACUCAUUGCUAACAAUAGUGUAUAAGAUCAAGCACAUAGCCAUGCAAUCUCCAUAGCCGAAUUUCUUCCCUGCUAGAUCUAGCCUUUAGAAAUGUUAUUUUCUGUGAACAUAUUUAUUAUAUGUAUUGGUAUAUUAAUCAUAGCAAAAGUAAAUCAUGUGGAUGAGGAAAAAACGAUUGGAGCAGUAGGCAUAAAGAGCAGGAAAAUACAGGGAAAAUCCUUUACCUAAGAUUUUUGUUAAAAAAAAAAUAAUAAUAAUAAAAAAAUGCCUUCCAUUCUUCACUGAGGUUGAGACAUAAUUAACUGAUCUCAUGAAAAAGCUUGCCAAAAGCUGGUUUCCCAUGAGGAAACCAAAAUACAGACAAUUUGAAGUUGCCAAGGCCAUUAAAUGUUUUUCCACAGUAGAAUAUAAAGCAGACUAUUAUUGCUCUGAAGGGUUCAUGAAGAGUAACCCCAGCUUCAGUAUUCAGAAGCCUGAGAAAGUCUUUCCAAGAUUAAAUGAAAAACAAGAAAAGAAAAAUCGAAUCAGAUAGACAUUUCACUUGUAAAUAUAAUGUGCAUUUUUGCUUGAGAUACACAUGGAAUAAAACAUGAUGGCUAGUGUUGUUACAGGAAAAUGAUCCAUGCCCAGGACGUGACACCAUCCCCAAAAUGGUUUCAGAUCACCCGCAAAUGGAUUGUUUUCACAAAGCAGCCCGCCCCAAAGGGUUUCACUCCACAUAUACCACAGCAAUUUGCCAACAAUUAUAAUUUUUCAUUUAUUGAUGAAUGACGCAUCAUGUUCUUCAAACCUUUAUAGCUACAUUUAAUGUUAUGGGGCAUCCAUGAGAAAGCUUAUUUCCUGUUAUUUUCCCCUGGUUUUCUUGUUCAAUCCUGAGAUCAUGUAUACUGUAUGUGUGGAGUUUCACAUGUUCUCGCUAUGUCCAUGUUGGCUAUGGCUAUGUACUCCUGCAUCACUAAUUCUUUUGGGAUUGGCUACAGAUCCACCGUGACCCUAACAAUUAUAAGGAUUUGGAUGACUAAACAAAUGAAUAUGAGUAGAUCUUGUAAAACAAAUGAUACAGUAUGGUAAUAAUAGUACACUGUAAAAAAUGCUGGGUUAUUUUUUCUACCCAAAUGCUGGGUUGAGCAUUUUGGGUCAUUUAAUUGGGUUAUUUUCUCAGUUUUGGUGUAGUUUUGUGUAACCCAAACGUUGAGUUAAUAGCUGGGUCAUUUUCACUGACAGCUGAACCAAUGCACCCCUCUCGCACUCCGAUGCCUCAGCCCAGCUCCUUGGGUCAAAUGAACUCAGUGCGGACUGUUUGACUCCGCCUCAGGUGAAUGGUUUUUGAGACGAGGAAACCAAACGACCACAGCUUUUCAAAUGGACGGGAGUGGGACUCUUGUCUUCCCAGAUGGCAGGGGGAUUUGUAAGAAGAUGCAUGAACUCCAAUUCUUACAUCUGACAAAUGUUUAAAUGGUUUUAAUAAAUGUCACCUGAAUUUCAUGCAAUUGUUUGUUUAUUUUGUGAGCAUUUUAG